rnacentral:rRNA from 1 species
AACUGUAUUGAUUUUGCUCUGCAACUCUCACAUGGUCACUGAAGUUAAGCAGGGCUGCGCCCGGUCAGUACCUGGAUGGGAGACCACAUGGGAAAGCUAGGUUGCUGCCGUAA